rnacentral:lncRNA from 10 species
UGUGAACUGACAAGCCCAUGGAUGUCUACAAAGAGUGAACUGAUCACUGUGGGCUGGCCUUUGAGGCAUCAGUGAGGCAUUGUGGCUCUGGAGACCUGGAAGCACUGCUAACUGUUCUCUCGAUUUUCUGACGCUCGGCCACAUCAACCUGUCAUACUAGUUGUGAGGAGAAGUCAAGGACAGUGACACAGCCAGCCAGUCUGAGGCAUUUUCCAUCAUCCUGAAGGAGUUGCCCUAUCCUGCUUUUCACUGGAGGGGGCAUGGAUGGGGAUCCUGGAUGACAAAGCAGUCACCUACUUGAACACUGCUAAUUAUGAAGUCAGAAAGAGGAAAGUUUGCAGAGUUUUGUAUUGGCAAUCAAACAUUCAGCCACAGGUCACAGUCUAGAACCAGACACAUCAGUGUCCUCAACUGCAAAGUAGCCAGGAAGCAGCAUCCCAUAACACAGUCCUAUGUCCACUGUUUUGGAGUUACUCAAGACCUAAGUGUUUUCUUGGAACUGUGUUUGUUACUGAGGAAGCCACAAAUUAAAUAUAAGUCUGCUCUUCAAGAGGUUACAUUCCAGUUAAGGAGAUUGCAUAUCCAUAUUUCCAGAAGUACCAAUGUGAUUGAAGCAAGGGAAAUUGCUAUGGGAUAUCUGACCAACUGGAUAUUCUGCUGGAAGAGCAGAAUGCACUUCAAAGACUAGCCAAUAAAACUCUCAUGGGCUCCUGACACACUGACCUCUGUCAGUUCCUUCAGCACACCAGGCUAAUCCCCAGUCUUGC